GAUGAACGCUGGCGGCGUGCCUAAUACAUGCAAGUCGAGCGAACAGACGAGGAGCUUGCUCCUCUGACGUUAGCGGCGGACGGGUGAGUAACACGUGGAUAACCUACCUAUAAGACUGGGAUAACUUCGGGAAACCGGAGCUAAUACCGGAUAAUAUAUUGAACCGCAUGGUUCAAUAGUGAAAGACGGUUUUGCUGUCACUUAUAGAUGGAUCCGCGCCGCAUUAGCUAGUUGGUAAGGUAACGGCUUACCAAGGCAACGAUGCGUAGCCGACCUGAGAGGGUGAUCGGCCACACGGGAACUGAGACACGGUCCAGACUCCUACGGGAGGCAGCAGUAGGGAAUCUUCCGCAAUGGGCGAAAGCCUGACGGAGCAACGCCGCGUGAGUGAUGAAGGUCUUCGGAUCGUAAAACGCUGUUAUUAGGGAAGAACAAAUGUGUAAGUAACUAUGCACGUCUUGACGGUACCUAAUCAGAAAGCCACGGCUAACUACGUG
rnacentral:rRNA from 1 species